rnacentral:rRNA from 1 species
UACGUAGGGCGCAAGCGUUAUCCGGAAUUAUUGGGCGUAAAGAGCUCGUAGGCGGUUUGUUGCGUCUGCCGUGAAAGUCCGGGGCUCAACUCCGGAUCUGCGGUGGGUACGGGCAGACUAGAGUGAUGUAGGGGAGACUGGAAUUCCCGGUGUAGCGGUGAAAUGCGCAGAUAUCAGGAGGAACACCGAUGGCGAAGGCAGGUCUCUGGGCAUUAACUGACGCUGAGGAGCGAAAGCAUGGGGAGCGAACAGG